CCGGCGCACGGGUGAGUAACACGUAUCCAACCUGCCGUCUACUCUUGGACAGCCUUCUGAAAGGAAGAUUAAUACAAGAUGGCAUCAUGAGUCCGCAUGUUCACAUGAUUAAAGGUAUUCCGGUAGACGAUGGGGAUGCGUUCCAUUAGAUAGUAGGCGGGGUAACGGCCCACCUAGUCUUCGAUGGAUAGGGGUUCUGAGAGGAAGGUCCCCCACAUUGGAACUGAGACACGGCCCAAACUCCUAGGGAGGCAGCAUG
rnacentral:rRNA from 1 species